GACGAACGCUGGCGGCGUGCCUAAUACAUGCAAGUCGAACGCAGUGGGGACGGGUGAGUAACACGUGGGUAACCUCCCAUCAGAGGGGAUAACACUUGGAAACAGGUGCUAAACUGAUAUUGAUGGAUGGACCAGUGGUGCAUUAGCUAGUUGGGGAGGUAACGGCCUACCAAGGCCACGAUGCAUAGCCGACCUGAGAGGAUGAUCAGCCACACUGGGACUGAGACACGGCCCAGACUCCUACGGGAGGCAGCAGUGGGGAAUCUUCGGCAAUGGACGAAAGUCUGACCGAGCAACGCCGCGUGUGUGAAGAAGGUUUUCGGGUCGUAAAGCUCUGUUGUUGGGGAGGCGGUAUCUAACCAGAAAGCCACGGCUAACUACGUGCCAGCAGCCGCGGUAAUAC
rnacentral:rRNA from 1 species